rnacentral:rRNA from 1 species
GAUGAACGCUGGCGGCGUGCCUAAUACAUGCAAGUCGAGCGAACAGACGAGGAGCUUGCUCCUCUGACGUUAGCGGCGGACGGGUGAGUAACACGUGGAUAACCUACCUAUAAGACUGGGAUAACUUCGGGAAACCGGAGCUAAUACCGGAUAAUAUAUUGAACCGCAUGGUUCAAUAGUGAAAGACGGUUUUGCUGUCACUUAUAGAUGGAUCCGCGCCGCAUUAGCUAGUUGGUAAGGUAACGGCUUACCAAGGCAACGAUGCGUAGCCGACCUGAGAGGGUGAUCGGCCACACUGGAACUGAGACACGGUCCAGACUCCUACGGGAGGCAGCAGUAGGGAAUCUUCCGCAAUGGGCGAAAGCCUGACGGAGCAACGCCGCGUGAGUGAUGAAGGUCUUCGGAUCGUAAAACUCUGUUAUUAGGGAAGAACAAGUGUGUAAGUAACUAUGCACGUCUUGACGGUACCUAAUCAGAAAGCCACGUCUAACUACGUG